rnacentral:rRNA from 1 species
CCUACGGGAGGCAGCAGUGAGGAAUAUUGGUCAAUGGGCGAGAGCCUGAACCAGCCAAGUCGCGUGAAGGAUGACGGCCCUACGGGUUGUAAACUUCUUUUGUCAGGAAGCAAUUGGGUCCACGCGUUGGCUUAGCGAGAGUACCUGAAGAAAAAGCAUCGGCUAACUCCGUGCCAGCAGCCGCGGUAAUACGGAGGAUGCGAGCGUUAUCCGGAUUUAUGGGGUUUAAAGGGUGCGUAGGCGGAAUAUCAAGUCAGCGGUAAAAAUUCGGGGCUCAACCCCGUCGUGCCGUUGAAACUGAUGUUCUUGAGUGGGCGAGAAGUAUGCGGAAUGCGUGGUGUAGCGGUGAAAUGCAUAGAUAUCACGCAGAACUCCGAUUGCGAAGGCAGCAUACCGGCGCCCAACUGACGCUGAAGCACGAAAGCGUGGGUAUCGAACAGGAUUAGAUACCCGGUAGUC